CCGAUCUUUUUUAAAUUCCUUGUAAAUACAAUGUCGAGUCAGGAGGAAGACAUAGUAUACUUAAAAUCCGGUAAAAACAAUAGCUCCCGUGGGCUCGUUAAUCGUAUCGCUUGCGAAAAACAUGUAUUCUUUUAUAGAUGGCGCUAAAUUCGCGCGGGCAAACAUGUGAGACAAUGCAAGAAUGGAAAUAUAAAUGUCGGGCCGCAAAGGAAAGAGGCGACAAAGAAAACAAACAUCUUGUGAAAAGAAAAAAAAUUGGGUCAAAAAUUGUCAGAAGCUAUUCCAGAACCUGAUAAAGUGACGUCGCAGUAUAUUUAGAUAAUUAGUGGUUUUGUUAUCAUCCUAAAAUGACGAAAAAUGACAUAUUUAAAUAGUUUGUGAGCAAAUCAACUACGCAGUGAUUAUUGUUUUUGCCAUCGUCGCGACAUCGUCUUACUAGUUAUCUCCGUAGCAUAAUUGCGCAAAUAAAUUUUCAAAUUUAGAUUGUCAGCAUAAUCCUGAAAUAUGGUGGUCGCUCAAAAAUACGUGGUCAAGAAAUACUUUCAAGGUGAGCCGAAGAUCAGUGACUAUGAGAUCGUGAAGGAGACACUUCCUCCUCUGAAAGACGGUGAGAUCCUAAUCAAGGCCGAAUGGAUCAGCAUCGACCCCUAUCAACGUGCCUACAACUCUACUCUUCCUCUUCCGUACGACCAAUUCAGCUUUCAAGUCGGAGUCGUCCAAGAAUCUAAGGAUCCGAAUCACCCUGUUGGGUCACGAGUGGUCACGCACCAAGGAUGGUGUGACUACAGUAUAAUAAAUAUGAGCGAGCCCAUCCUUGGGAAAGA
rnacentral:lncRNA from 1 species